AACGAACGUUAGCGGCGCGCCUAACACAUGCAAGUCGCACGAGAAAGGGCUUCGGCCCCGGUACAGUGGCGCACGGGUGAGUAACACGUGGGUAAUCUGCCUUCGAGCGGGGGAUAACAUUCCGAAAGGAGUGCUAAUACCGCAUAAGACCACGGCUUCGAAAGAAGCAGCGGUCAAAGCUGGCCUCUAUACAUAAGCUAGCACUCGAGGAUGAGCCCGCGGCGCAUCAGCAAGUUGGUGAGGUAAUGGCUCACCAAGGCGAAGACGCGUAGCUGGUCUGAGAGGAUGAUCAGCCACACUGGAACUGAGACACGGUCCAGACUCCUACGGGAGGCAGCAGUGGGGAAUCUUGCGCAAUGGGCGAAAGCCUGACGCAGCGACGCCGCGUGAGUGAUGAAGGCCUUCGGGUUGUAAAGCUCUGUGGGGAGAGACGAAUAAGUGCAGGCUAAUACCCUGCAUGAUGACGGUAUCUCCUUAGCAAGCACCGGCUAACUCUGUGCCAGCCGCCGCCGUAAAAC
rnacentral:rRNA from 1 species